rnacentral:rRNA from 1 species
CCUACGGGCGGCUGCAGUGGGGAAUAUUGCACAAUGGGCGCAAGCCUGAUGCAGCCAUGCCGCGUGUGUGAAGAAGGCCUUCGGGUUGUAAAGCACUUGCAGCGGGGAGGAAGGCGGUGAGGUUAAUAACCUCAUCGAUUGACGUUACCCGCAGAAGAAGCACCGGCUAACUCCAUGCCAGCAGCCGCGGUAAUACGGAGGGUGCAAGCGUUAAUCGGAAUUACUGGGCGUAAAGCGCACGCAGGCGGUCUGUCAAGUCGGAUGUGAAAUCCCCGGGCUCAACCUGGGAACUGCAUUCGAAACUGGCAGGCUAGAGUCUUGUAGAGGGGGGUAGAAUUCCAGGUGUAGCGGUGAAAUGCGUAGAGAUCUGGAGGAAUACCGGUGGCGAAGGCGGCCCCCUGGACAAAGACUGACGCUCAGGUGCGAAAGCGUGGGGAGCAAACAGGAUUAGAUACCCCAGUAGUC